AGUGGCGGACGGGUGAGUAACGCGUGAGAAUCUGCCUUGGGGUCGGGGACAACCACUGGAAACGGUGGCUAAUACCGGAUAAGCCGAUUGGUGAAAGAUUUAUUGCCCGAAGAGGAGCUCGCGUCUGAUUAGCUAGUUGGUGAGGUAAGAGCUCACCAAGGCAGCGAUCAGUAGCUGGUCUGAGAGGACGAUCAGCCACACUGGGACUGAGACACGGCCCAGACUCCUACGGGAGGCAGCAGUGGGGAAUUUUCCGCAAUGGGCGAAAGCCUGACGGAGCAAGACCGCGUGAGGGAGGAAGGCUCUUGGGUUGUAAACCUCUUUUCUCAGGGAAGAAGCUCUGACGGUACCUGAGGAAUCAGCCUCGGCUAACUCCGUGCCAGCAGCCGCGGUAAUACGGAGGAGGCAAGCGUUAUCCGGAAUUAUUGGGCGUAAAGCGUCCGCAGGUGGCGAUUCAAGUCUGCUGUCAAAGCACGGGGCUUAACUCCGUAAAGGCAGUGGAAACUGAAUAGCUAGAGUGCCGUAGGGGUAGAGGGAAUUCCCGGUGUAGCGGUGAAAUGCGUAGAGAUCGGGAAGAACAUCGGUGGCGAAAGCGCUCUACUGUACGGCAACUGACACUCAGGGACGAAAGCUAGGGGAGCGAAUGGGAUUAGAUACCCC
rnacentral:rRNA from 1 species